UGGCGACCGGCGCACGGGUGAGUAACGCGUAUGCAACUUACCUAUCAGAGGGGGAUAGCCCGGCGAAAGUCGGAUUAAUACCCCAUAAAACAGGGGUCCUGCAUGGGAAUAUUUGUUAAAGAUUCAUCGCUGAUAGAUAGGCAUGCGUUCCAUUAGGCAGUUGGCGGGGUAACGGCCCACCAAACCGACGAUGGAUAGGGGUUCUGAGAGGAAGGUCCCCCACAUUGGUACUGAGACACGGACCAA
rnacentral:rRNA from 1 species